rnacentral:rRNA from 1 species
GGGCCCGCACAAGCAGCGAGGUAUGUGGUUUAAUUCGAGGCUACACGAAGAACCUUACCUGGGCUUGACAUGUAAGUGAAAGGGUUAAGAAACUAACUCUCUCUUAUGUAGCAAUACAUAAGACACUUACACAGGUGGUGCAUGGUUGUCGUCAGCUCGUGCCGUGAGGUGUAAGGUUAAGUCCUUGAACGAGCGCAACCCUCCCUGUUAUUUGCUAUAAGUUCUUAUGAGCUUAGCACUAUAACAGUACCGCUACCGACAAGGUAGAGGAAGGCGAGGAUGACGUCAAAUCAUCACGCCCCUUAUGUCCAGGGCUACACACAUGCGACAAUGGUUGGUACAGAGGGAAGCAAUAGAGUAAUCUGGAGCAAAUCCCCAAAAACCAGCCCCAGUACAGAUCGAGGGUUGAAACCCACCCUCGUGAAGAUGGAGUUGCUAGUAAACGCAGGUCAGCUACACUGCGUUGAAUAUGUUCCCGGGCCUU